AUUUCAGAUAUUCUCAACUUUAGGAGCAUCUUUAGUCCAUUCAGGGUGCUAUGACAAAAUACCAUAGACUGGGGGGGUUAUCAACAACAGAGAUUUAUAUCUCAUAGUUCUAAAGCCUGGGAAGUCCAAGAUCAGGGUGCCUGCAGAUUUGAUGUCUGGUCACAGCCACUUCCUCACAGAUGACACCUUCCUUCUGUGUCUCACAUAGUGGAAGAGGUGAGGGAUCUCUUUGGGAUCUCUUCUAUUGGGCACUAAUCCCAUUCAUGAGGAAUCCAUCCUCAUGACCUAAUCACCUCCU
rnacentral:lncRNA from 10 species